rnacentral:lncRNA from 1 species
UAAACUUCAUCGUGCGUGCCCGCGGAGUCCACACAGUACAUGGAGUAUUCGGUUCGUAAGUGUGACGCCACUUCAAUUUUAACCAUGCCCGUUGUCACGUAAGUUAUUCCUAUCAGACUUGCCUUUGAUAUGUUGUUCAAGGACAACUCUGUCCACUCAUGUGCAUCCCAAUAUACUGUAUACAUUUUCUUUUAUGUUUUUACAAAUCUUUCCCAGAUGAAAUUUGAAUUUCCUGUGUUUAUCUCUUCAUUGUUUUUUGUCCAAAUUUCUGCCUAGACCAUCCCAUCCUGAUCCAUUCAUGUCUUGCUUCCACUUGGUAUCAUGUGUGGCAAGAAAGAAUGCUUAAUCUGGAAUGGCAAGAAAAAAGGAGGAUGGGAUCCAUUCGUGUGCACUGAGUCAAGUGAUCGAGAUUCUUUGGGUGGUUGUUGUCGAAUAGCUGAGAAGAGCCAAUGAACUGAAGGCUGAUGAAAACAUGCUUCGAUGGAUAUGUAACACAUGCCGUGUAGGCAUCAAAGUGAAGUAUCAUGGACAUUCUUACAUGAUACAAUAGAUAUGGACAACUUUCCUAGCUGAGUUUUCUGUUUGUCACCUAAUACUUCAGGAUAUGCCUUUGAGGAAGCAUCUUCAGUUAUUGAGCCACUUACACGUCAAUGUCAUCCACAGCAAGAAACCAACCACUCUGACAUCACUGCUGGCAACGUUUAUUUUGUGGCGGCCAAGACUUUGCUGUGGGCUAUUAUGUAGACGACUUGUAAAACUGUUUUAAACACUGUCUGAUGCUAUAUGGUGCAGCAGGAGAGUAACCUUUUAUUCUUAAUAGGUACAUGUAAUUCAGACUGGUUAUUGUUCUUUUUCUCCAUACAAAAUGUAACUGGUACACAUACUAACUUCUUAUGGAAAUAUGGGUGAAAUCCGUGUACCUGUAAUUCACAAUAUAAUUCCUGACAGUUUCCAACAAGCCCACUUUUGGCUUUGUAAACAUUGUUUGUUUAAUGUUAAAGGUUGCUUGAUUAGUUCUACUCAGAUGAAACUCAGGUGAAGUUCGUUCAUAGUAAUUUUAAUAAUGCAUGGUGUAUAAACAGUAACGUUACUUCACAAAAUAAUUCAAGUUGUUCAACUUGCCAAGAUGCAGUGGAGUUUCAUUUUACUUGCAAAGUUUUGGCAAUAAAAUUUACUUCUGGUCAACAGAUCUGAGUUUAUUGGCUUUUUCUCAAUUUUGCGAAAAAGGCAUU